AGAGUUUGAUCAUGGCUCAGAUUGAACGCUGGCGGCAGGCCUAACACAUGCAAGUCGAACGGUAGCACAGAGAGCUUGCUCUCGGGUGACGAGUGGCGGACGGGUGAGUAAUGUCUGGGAAACUGCCCGAUGGAGGGGGAUAACACUUGGAAACAGGUGCUAAUACCGCAUAGGUCAUCAUUCCACAUGGAAAGAUGACAAAAGACGCUACGGUGUCGCUGUUGGAUGGGCCCGCGCUGCAUUAGUUAGUUGGUGAGGUAACGGCUCACCAAGACCAUGAUGCAUAGCCGACCUGAGAGGGCGAUCGGCCACACUGGGACUGAGACACGGCCCAGACUCCUACGGGAGGCAGCAGUAGGGAAUCUUCGGCAAUGGACGAAAGUCUGACCGAGCAACGCCGCGUGAGUGAAGAAGGCCUUCGGGUUGUAAAGUACUUUCAGCGGGGAGGAAGGGAGUGAGGUUAAUAACCUUAUUCAUUGACGUUACCCGCAGAAGAAGCACCGGCUAACUCCGUGCCAGCCGCCGCGGUAAUUC
rnacentral:rRNA from 1 species